rnacentral:rRNA from 1 species
AACGAACGCUGGCGGCGCGCCUAAUACAUGCAAGUCGAGCGAGAAGGUGUAGCAAUACACUUGUAAAGCGGCGAACGGGUGAGGAAUGCAUGGGUAACCUACCCUCGAGUGGGGAAUAACUAGCCGAAAGGUUAGCUAAUACCGCAUACGUUUCCGGAACUUCGGUUUCGGAAAGAAAGCAAUACCGUGGGUAUUGCGCUCCUGGAUGGGCUCAUGUCCUAUCAGCUUGUUGGUGAGGUAACGGCUCACCAAGGCUUCGACGGGUAGCUGGUCUGAGAGGACGAUCAGCCACACUGGCACUGCGACACGGGCCAGACUCCUACGGGAGGCAGCAGUAAGGAAUAUUGCGCAAUGGACGAAAGUCUGACGCAGCGACGCCGCGUGGGGGAUGAAGGUCUUCGGAUUGUAAACCCUUUCGGGAGGAAGAUGGAGUGGGUAACCACUUGGACGGUACCUCCAGAAGCAGCCACGGCUAACUUCGUGCCAGCAGCCGCGGUAA